AGUCGAGCGGGCAUAGCAAUAUGUCAGCGGCAGACGGGUGAGUAACGCGUGGGAACGUACCUUUUGGUUCGGAACAACUGAGGGAAACUUCAGCUAAUACCGGAUAAGCCCUUACGGGGAAAGAUUUAUCGCCGAAAGAUCGGCCCGCGUCUGAUUAGCUAGUUGGUGAGGUAAUGGCUCACCAAGGCGACGAUCAGUAGCUGGUCUGAGAGGAUGAUCAGCCACAUUGGGACUGAGACACGGCCCAAACUCCUACGGGAGGCAGCAGUGGGGAAUAUUGGACAAUGGGCGCAAGCCUGAUCCAGCCAUGCCGCGUGAGUGAUGAAGGCCCUAGGGUUGUAAAGCUCUUUUGUGCGGGAAGAUAAUGACGGUACCGCAAGAAUAAGCCCCGGCUAACUUCGUGCCAGCAGCCGCGGUAAUACGAAGGGGGCUAGCGUUGCUCGGAAUCACUGGGCGUAAAGGGUGCGUAGGCGGGUCUUUAAGUCAGGGGUGAAAUCCUGGAGCUCAACUCCAGAACUGCCUUUGAUACUGAAGAUCUUGAGUUCGGGAGAGGUGAGUGGAACUGCGAGUGUAGAGGUGAAAUUCGUAGAUAUUCGCAAGAACACCAGUGGCGAAGGCGGCUCACUGGCCCGAUACUGACGCUGAGGCACGAAAGCGUGGGGAGCAAACAGGAUUAGAUACCCCGGUAGUCCA
rnacentral:rRNA from 1 species